AUUGUCUCUCAGUAGAUACAGUGUAAUGUGUAAGCACUCAACAAUGCGCCAUAGAAGACAUCAUCAAAUGCAGGCAGAGUACAGUUCAAUACGCAUUUCCCCUGAGUUUCUCAUUGUAGAAAUAUGAGCAAGGCUCUCAGUGCAACUUAAAAAAAAAAAAGACAUUAGGAAAUACUCAGAGAACAGUGCAGCAUCCGGCUCCACACAUAAGGAGAUUAGUGAG